UACGUAGGGGGCUAGCGUUGUCCGGAAUCAUUGGGCGUAAAGAGCGUGUAGGCGGCCCGGUAAGUCCGCUGUGAAAGUCGGGGGCUCAACCCUCGAAUGCCGGUGGAUACUGUCGGGCUAGAGUGCGGAAGAGGCGAGUGGAAUUCCUGGUGUAGCGGUGAAAUGCGCAGAUAUCAGGAGGAACACCGGUGGCGAAGGCGGGGUCUCUGGGCCGAUACUGACGCUGAGGAGCGAAAGCGUGGGGAGCGAACAGG
rnacentral:rRNA from 1 species